rnacentral:rRNA from 1 species
GACGAACGCUGGCGGCGUGCCUAACACAUGCAAGUCGAACGGAGUAAUGAUUUCGGUUAUUACUUAGUGGCGAACGGGUGAGUAACGCGUGAGAAACCUGCCUUUCAGUGGGGGACAACAGUUGGAAACGACUGCUAAUACCGCAUAAUGUUAUUUGGGGGCAUCCUUGAAUAACCAAAGAUUUAUUGCUGAAAGAUGGUCUCGCGUCUGAUUAGCUGGUUGGCGGGGUAACGGCCCACCAAGGCGACGAUCAGUAGCCGGACUGAGAGGUUGACCGGCCACAUUGGGACUGAGACACGGCCCAG